UCAAGCUUCACUUGCCCAUGCAUCAUCAUGCUUUAAGCAUUGUAACUAACACCCACGGUUUUCAAAAUUGUAAAGAGAACACUACACAAAAAAUAAUGCAUAAAUCAAAUCUAAAAAGUCCUAGAAACCAAAUCUACUAACUCAACCAACAUAUAUGUAGAGAGAGAGAGAGAGAGAGAUGGGCUUGUCAAUAGGACCUUCUUGGGCUUUCUUCACCAUCGAAAUACGACACUCUGUCGUGACAAGAACCCACGAGGCCACAGUUGCCUACGCCACUGUGUUUCUAAUCGAAGCUCCUUAUGGGUACGGUGUAAUACCCAUCACUCCACUUCCUCUUCUUCUGAGAAAUCAAUACACUACCAUUUUCAUUUCCCUUCACAAAUCAAAUUCGCAAAUAGCGGGAAAAAGUUGAACUUUUUUCCUGAAGUAUAUGCAAAGACAAUAGGAAGAAUCGAAUAUAAAGCUCGAAAAAUAGGCAAAUACCUCAUGCGUUGGAUCCUCUAAUACUUGGGUGGUAUUCUUCGAAUUCUUUUAUGCUAUCGCUCCCUCAAUUUUCUUGUUCUACUACAGGAAAUAUUACCCUAAUGAAUUAGCCAUAUGUGAUCUAGUUUAAACCAAGAGCGACGACGAAGGAGAAGUCAUUAGUUGAAUUGCUGCAAAUGUUGUUCUGAUCUUCCAAUUUUGUCAAAGGGAAAAACUGUUAGAGAGGGUGAAGAAAGAGAAGAAAAUUCUUGCUAGAGCAAAUAUCAGAGCCACAUAUAGGUUAUAACUAGCGC